rnacentral:tRNA from 1 species
AGAGAGGUGGCCGAGUGGUCGAAGGCGCACGCCUGGAACGCGUGUGUGGCGCAAGCCACCGAGGGUUCGAAUCCCUUCCUCUCUG